UAGUCUUUGUACAUCAACAAUACUGAUUACAAAAUAAACUAGUGUUGAAAGUUGUCAACAAUGCAGCAGCAAGCAAAUGUCCAUUGUGUAUUUUUGGUCAUUAAACUUUUGUAACAUGUGACUUUUGUUGGUUUGAUUGUAACUUUUUGUUUUGCUAAGGAUUAGUCAAGUACUUAGCUGAUUUAGUAGCUUUUUAGGUUAUCAUUAAGCUGAUUUUACCGCCAGUCGCCGGUGCCAGUGUCGCCGUAUAUGGUGGUCGGGAAACUGAAAAGUUUCUUCUUUUCUCCGGCACAACCUCUCAGCCCUAUGCACCCUCCGGCGACGGCGAUAAGAGCUUCAGCUUCAUCUUCAGCUUCUGUUCUUCACCUUCUUCUCCUUCUUCAUCCAGGGCUGCUGUUUUGUUUCGCUCAAAUCUAUGGCUGCUUUCUCCUCUUUCUCUCUUUUUUGUUAUGCAACGACUGGAAGGAUUGUUGCAAUUGUGAGAGCCUCACCACGACUCUCUUCUUCUCUCACCUCCAUCAAUUUUCUAACACCAAAUCACCCACGCAGGGAUGGAAAUGGCUCAACUCAUAUGUGGAGGUUGUCGAACAUUGCGCCUUCUUUCAGUCAGAUGUUUUUCACUAUUAGUUUCAUUUUCUUUUUUUCCGCUUGUAAUUUCAGGAAUUUGGAAUGUUAUGGAUUUUACUAUCAUCUGUUUCAUAUUGAAUUUUCAAACCAACAUUAUCCAUUACAACUAGCACUUUGGAAAAAUCAUCUUUAUUAUGGCCCUUUUCAAUGAUUGCAGAUAUGCAGAGCCAGCUUAUCUGUAGUGGGUGUAGGAGCAUUCUUCUUUAUCCUAGAGGUGCUACCAGUGUUUGCUGUGCAUUAUGCAAUACAAUUACUCCCCCUGAGAUAAAGAAGCUCCAAGAUUAACUGAGAGUGGUUUCCAAUUCUCGGUGUGCAUCAUGAAACUCAUGGCCCUUUUGCCUCUUUUCUGGUUGUCUGUCACCUAAAAUUACUUCUUAUCUUUGUAAUUUACAGUUGAUGGAUACAAAUGCUCAGCUUUGGUAUAUUAUCAGAGAGUAUAUCUCCAAUUCAGAGGUAUAUUUGAUGAGAUAAUUAUUGUGUUCUGCUUGGAACUUGUUUGUUAGAGCUAUUGUGUUUUACUGUUGUUAAGUUCUUGAAGGAGAAAUUGGCAUGAAUUUAUUGUAAAUUUUUAUUUGUUAUUGGUUUAUUAGUAUAUAUUAUCCUCUUAAAUGUGAA